AUUCUUUGAGCCAGGGGUCUGUCUGUAUUCUUUGAGCCAGGGGUCUGUCUGUAUUCUUUGAGCCAGGGGUCUGUCUGUAUUCUUUGAGCCAGGGGUCUGUCUUCUUUGAGCCAGGGGUCUGUCUUCUUUGAGCCAGGGGUCUGUCUCUGUAUCAGAGUGUCUCCCUGAGAGGUUUCUUUCAGUUGAACUCACUCGUCUUGGAUAUAGGUUUGAUUGAUCUAGAUGUCCAUCCAGCCUUCUGACAGACAGUCAGUUUGGGUGUAAACAGGAAGAUGCUACACCCUGCCCUUCCUCAGCAGACAGACAGCAGAUUUUGAAUGACACAAUUACAACAAUAGGUUUUUGCUGCAUGGGUUAUUUGAGUUGGUUGGGUUUUUUGGGUUGGUUAGGUUGGUUGGGUUAGUUAGGUUGAUUAGGUUGGUUAGGUUGGUUGGGUAAGUUAGGUUAGGUUGGGUAAGUUAGGUUGGUUGGGUAAGUUAGGUUGGUUGGGUAAGUUAGGUUGAUUGGGUUAGUUAGGUUGGGUAAGUUAGGUUAGGUUGGGUAAGUUAGGUUAGGUUGGGUAAGUUAGGUUGAUAUGGUUGGUUGGGUUAGUUAGGUUGAUAUGGUUGGUUGGGUUAGUUAGGUUGAUAUGGUUGGUUGGGUUAGUUAGGUUGGCUGGGUAAGUUAGGUUGGCUGGGUAAGUUAGGUUAGGUUGGGUAAGUUAGGUUAGGUUGGGUAAGUUAGGUUGGUUGGGUAAGUUAGGUUGGUUGGGUAAGUUAGGUUAGGUUGGGUAAGUUAGGUUGGUUGGGUAAGUUAGGUUAGGUUGGGUAAGUUAGGUUGGUUGGGUAAGUUAGGUUAGGUUGGGUAAGUUAGGUUAGGUUGGGU
ensembl:lncRNA